rnacentral:lncRNA from 1 species
AAGAGCACUAAGAUCCUUACUUUGAAUGGGAAGAAGAUGAGCAAGAUGCCCUCAGCACUGGAAAAACUGCCUAAUCUGAGGACUCUAGACCUUCAGAAUAAUCAAAUCUCCAAAGUAUGCCCUGAGCUAAGGACCUUGACCAAGUUGACAUUACUAAAUCUGGGAAACAACCUUUUACAAGAAGUUCCUGAAGAGAUAAAAUACCUUACCUCCCUGAAGAAUCUUCAUUUAUUUGGAAACAGGAUUUGCAGAAUUGCUGCUGGAGUCCUUGAUGGCCUGGGAGACUUGGUUCUACUUAAUCUGAAUGACAACCAACUUAGCAGUCUUCCUCCAGAAAUUGGCAGAUUACAGAAUCUCACCUUCCUAAGCCUCAACCAUAACAAGCUCACCGUGAUUCCCAAAGAGAUCUGUUUCCUUGAACAUCUUUCGGAACUUCAUAUUAACUACAAUCGGAUCACGCGCAUCCCUGAGGAGAUCAGGUUCCUACAGAACCUUCAGCAGCUUUCUCUGGUCAGGAACAACAUCGAAGAGUUGCCAGAGGAAGUUUGUCAGCUUACAAAACUAGGAGUCCUGGACGUAGCUGGAAAUGUAAUCCAGAUAUUUCCAGCAGGCAGCUGAGGACCGAACCCAGGGCCUUGCACUUGCUAGGCAAGCGCUCUACCACUGAGCUAAAUCCCCAACCCCAGCUUUGUACUUUUUAAGACGUCUUUCUGCCAUGUGGCAGAUACACUAGAUGGUCUCAGAAG